AUUGAACGCUGGCGGCAUGCCUUACACAUGCAAGUCGAACGGCAGCACGGGUGCUUGCACCUGGUGGCGAGUGGCGAACGGGUGAGUAAUACAUCGGAACGUACCUUAUCGUGGGGGAUAACGCAGCGAAAGCUGUGCUAAUACCGCAUACGCCCUGAGGGGGAAAGCGGGGGAUCGCAAGACCUCGCGCGAUAAGAGCGGCCGAUGCCUGAUUAGCUAGUGGGUGGGGUAAAAGCCCACCAAGGCGACGAUCAGUAGCUGGUCUGAGAGGACGAUCAGCCACACUGGGACUGAGACACGGCCCAGACUCCUACGGGGGGCAGCAGUGGGGAAUUUUGGACAAUGGGGGCAACCCUGAUCCAGCAAUGCCGCGUGAGUGAAGAAGGCCUUCGGGUUGUAAAGCUCUUUUGUCAGGGAAGAAACACCGGCUCUAACACAGUCCGGGAAUGACGGUACCUGAAGAAUAAGCACCGGCUAACUACGUGCCAGCAGCCGCGGUAA
rnacentral:rRNA from 1 species